ACCCUAUCUACAUCUAUUUAUAAGAUUAACAGGUGCCAGACUAUGCCAUUACAAAUUAUCCCCUCAUCAGAUAUUUCGUUAAAAUUCAUUCGAAACACUACAACUAAACAAUCGAAUAUGGCUGUGCGGGUCGAUGAUGCCAGCAGCAAUGAGACUGCAAUUAUCACUUGUUUAGUUUCUGUGCUUGCCGUGGUUUACUUCGCAUGGAAUGUGAAAAAAUCAAGGAAAGCAAAUGCUAAACUUCCACCAGGACCUCGCGGCUUGCCUGUAGUCGGAUACCUCCCAUUUCUCGGAACUACCGACUUGCACAAGAGAUUCACGGAAUUAUCCGGAGUUUACGGUCCGAUCUUCAAGCUCUGGCUCGGAAAUAAAUUAUGUGUAGUGGUGAGCUCACCUUCCCUAGUUAAACAAGUGGUUCGUGAUCAAGAUACAACAUUCGCAUACCGUGACCCGCCGAUCGCUGGACUAGUGGCCACCUUUGGUGGCAAUGAUAUUGCGUGGUCCAAUUACGGUCCCGAAUGGAGAAAGUUGCGCAAAUUUUUUGUGGGCAAGAUGAUGAGUAACGCAAGCCUUGAUGCUUGUUAUGCUCUAAGAAAACAAGAGGUUAAAAAUACUAUCAGGGAUUUGUACAACAACGACAACAAAAUUGGUAAGCCCAUUGACAUUGGUGAAUUGUCGAUUUCAACCUUGGUAUGUGCUAUGCAGAACAUGCUGUGGGGUGAAGCGCUUGAAUUAAAAGAGAAACGGACCACUAAUCUUGGGGUUGAGCUAAAAUUUAAGCUUGCAGAACUCAUGGUGCUACUGGGAACACCGAAUAUUUCGGAUAUCUUUCCAAUGCUUUCAUGGCUCGACAUACAAGGUAUAGAGAGGAGAGCAAAGAAGAUUUCACUCUGGUUUGAAAAUGUUAUAAAUUCUACUGUUGAAAAGUAUAGAAGCAAGGACUUUAUUGUUGAAGGUAAACAAAGAGCAGGGGAAAAUUUUGUAGGAUCAAAUAACAAGAACUUCUUGCAGUUACUAUUGGAGCUUCAAGAAAAUGAAGACGGUUCUUCCUCAAUUAGCAUGAACCAAUUUAAGGGCGUGCUCGCGGUAUGUUAAGCAACUAGCCACGAACAGUUAUACAAGCACAGUUGUAUAUUUGCAUGAGUGACGCUUCUCAACUUUUUUUAAUUUUUUAAGUUAAAGUUUUAUUGUAAUCUUUUGAACAGGAUAUAAUUACGGGUGGAACCGACACCACAACUACGAUGGUGGAAUGGACAAUGGCAGAGUUGAUGCAGCAUCCACAAGUAAUGAAGAAAGUUCAGGAAGAAUUAGCUCAAGUUGUGGGCAUGGACAGUUGUGUUGAAGAAUUUCAUUUGCCUAAACUGAAAUAUUUAGAUGCUGUGGUGAAAGAAUCGUUUCGUCUGCAUCCUGCAUUGCCUUUAUUAGUACCACGCAGAGCAAGCGAGAGUGGCAGCAUUGGUGGCUAUACCAUUCCCAAAGAUACAACUCUUAUGUUGAAUGUUUGGGCUAUCCACAGGGACCCUCAACUUUGGGAUAAUCCCUUAGAAUUUCGACCCGAGAGGUUUCUGAAUGUUGGUAUCGAGAGUAAGUUCGAUUACUCAGGUAACAAUUUUCAGUACUUGCCAUUUGGUUCCGGUAGAAGGAUGUGUGCUGGGAUUCCUCUAGCUGAGAGGAUGCUGAUGUUUGUUUUGGCUUCGUUAUUGCACUCAUUCGAGUGGGAAUUGCCAGCUGGCACAAAGCUAAACUUAUCUGAAAAAUUUGGGAUUGUCAUUAAGAAAAAAGAGCCUUUGGUUGCUAUUCCAACACCAAGACUAUCCAAUUCAGAGCUCUACCAUUAAGACAGAAUGAUUGUGAUGAUUUUGUUAGUAUCGGAAGAUUUGUAUGUUAUUUCAAGUUCAAUCGUAAUAAAAUAUUUUAAUAAAAGUCCUCCGUUGCUAAUUUUUUUUUUUCAACGGCAUAAUCUGUCAUCGUGCUUGUGUUUGGAGCUACUUUGGAAUGAUUAUUUUUGAAUUACAAUUUAUAAAUAUUUACGUUUUAAAUUUUUUAUAAGAGUCUAAAUUUAUACACGUUCAGUAAAAGAUUCCCUAAAAGCUUUACAAUUCAAAAUUCUAUUAAAAGUAUAGAUGAAACUUUUAUACCUACUAAUUUUUUGGUCUAUUCUACGAGUUUAAAGAGGAGAUAUUUCUAGAGUUAGCAAAAAGUGUUACAUGAUUGUUUUCGCGUAAUGUCAUUUUUUAUUGUGUUAAAUUUAGUUUGACUCAAAUAUGACCCAUUUAAUAAUCGUGUCAAAAUAUUGAAAUUUGAACUCAACACAGAAAAUAAAUGGGUGACCAGUCACACCCAUUUAAUAAUUAGGUAACCAUGUCACUUAAUACGACAUAACCCAAUAACUCGUUUAAUACAUAUUUAACAUAAUUUAUAUUGUACAUUGUACACCCUUUUGUCAUAAAUUACACUAUUUUAUAUUUCUAAAUAAUAUUAUAUAUUGAUAUUGUAUAAAAAAAAUCAAUAAUCUCAAAAUUUGUACACCUCCUAACUUUUAAAAAGAAAUAAAAAACUAAUUAAUUAAUGUUUAUUUUAUUCAUUAAUAUAUCAUAAUCCUACAUGUGUUUUAUUUGUUAUUUUUUUAUUUAAAAAGAUAGGAAGGUGGAUGAAACUCAAAUAAAUUUUUAGCCUAUCUUGAUCUUUCAAGUUUCUUAUUUAAGUGGCCAGCUAAAGAAAAUUACUUGAAGCUACUCCAUCAAUUUAACAAAUUUUAUUUAUUUAUUUAAUGGAGGUGUAGAAAAUAAAAGUAUCUGCAAGCACAUUGCAAUAGUGAAAGCAAUGUACCGGUGUUGCAACAUAACUGAACCUUGAUAACCGAUCACAUAUUUUAAGUUUUAACAUUGGUAGUUCACGGAUCGGUUUCUACUUCCACGAACAAUUAUUGAAGGAAAUGAGUUUUUUUUUUAAUGAAUAUUUAUAGACCCCGAUUAAAUAUUCGAAUAUAUAAUAAAAGAGAAACUGACAUAGAAAUGAGAAAGAUAUUUGGAGGAGGCAAAAAAAAAAAAAAAAAAAAUGCAACAGAGAAUUAGAUCAGUAACACAAAUAACUAAUUAAUUCAUCUAUACAUCAUAAUCCUAUUUGUAUCUUCUUCCUUCUUCUAAUUUACAUAUAAAUUUGGUUAGAUAAAACAUAUUUUAAUACUCGGUCACAAGCGGUGGAUAUAGAAAAUUAAUUUAGAGGGGGUAAUACCAUAACGAAAAAUAAUGAUUCAUAAUUAAAAUCAACCCCAACAUCAAAACUUAUUUACAAGAUUACGCCCAGUCAAAGGUAAAUUUUCUUAAAAACUAAUAUGAAAUUAAAUAAAUUUAACUUUUAGUGGGUUCAAGUGCCCACGCAUUCUGAACGUAGAUCCACCCCUGGCCCCGACUGAAGCAUUUUUUUACAAUAUGUACUCAGUUUAUCAGCAGGAACAACCUUCCACUUUAAAUUAAAAUUUUCACUUAAAAAUGAUUAAUGUUAAUGAGGUUAGCAACAAAAAUGAGUUUAAUUAGAGAAUAUUAUAAGAGAAAUUAUAUUUUUUGACUUUUAAUAAAUUAAAAUAUAUUAAAAUAUUAUUAGUUGGUGGUGGUUUCACGUCAGAUUAAGACGUGACACUUUACUUAUGAGGUCGAGACAAUCGACUUAAAUUAUUUCAAUGCAUUUAAAAUUUAUACUAAUGGCUAUUAUUCUUUAUCCAAAUUAAUACGAUAAUUAAUAACAUACAAUUGAAAUAAUUAAUAUUAUCACUUGGCAAUAAAUAAAGCUCUUGUGCUUGAAUCGUCACACAUGAUCAUUUCAUUCCUUUAUUUACUUUGCUAACACAGAUUUUGAGGCAUUAAAACUAAAUAAUAAUUGAAUAUGGCUUUGUGCGUCGCUGACGCCAGCAGCAAGGGGACCUCAAUUAUCACUUUUUAAGUUGAUUAUUGCAGUGUUUUUAUUUUUUAUAUUAAAAUUAAGUCGAUUUGUUAUAAUAAACUUAGUUGAGUUUAAUGGUAUUACUACAAAAAUUGAAUAGUCAUUAAAUAUUUUAAUAUUUUUAUCGCAAUCAUUGCUGUAGCAUUUAUUUAUUGUAUGAUGAAUUUUAAAAUUUAUAAAAUUAUUUGUUAUUUAAUUACCCCAGAUGCUACAUCACCUGAAACUUAAUAAAGGGAACGUAGCAUUGCCAUUACUCAACAUUCACUCUUAUGACUUUUUUUUUUUUUUUUGUUUUAUCUACUAGGUAUUCUGGGGAGGGCCCCAACUGUGGGAGGCACCUUUAAGCCCAUACCACAAUUCAGAUUAGAAGUCCCCGCUCGAACCAGGAGGCACAUGUUCUCCCAACAAAGACGACUUCCCUGCGACUCGAACUGUGAAGCAAACCCAGUCAAACCACUUAAAGGGACUCCAUUACCAGUGGAGCCAACACUUUAUUGGUACUCUUAUGACUUUAUGACAUUAGAAUUAAAAUCUUUCGUACAUUUAAUUUGUUUGCUUCCAAAUUAAAUCUUUAAUAAAUAUUUUUUUCACAUUAUCAUGAAUGGACAAAACUCCAACGAAAAUAACUACACAAGAACAAUCUAUGCUAGUAUUAUAUGCCACGAUAUCUAUAACUUUGUCAGGAUCGAUCGGUCUAAUUUUUACGCAGAACUUUUUGUCAAUCGACAAACACCUCACAGAGCUUGUCACCUGUCAGCCGCAUUAUUACGAUGUAAAAUUGCACCGGAAUAUCUUGAAUUAUUAGUAGAAUAACGAAGACUAUUUGGAGCAAUAAAAACAAAUAACGCAGAUGAAAACAAUGGCUGAAAUUAUGUAAGUGAGCCCCAAAGUUUUUGCUAUUUCCUGGAAAUCCCCAAUUUGAAUGGACUAGAGGGAGGCACGUAAGAAAUACAUUUUCUUCCUAGACAAUGACAGCUAUGCAUCAAGCCACGGUGGCGUCAGUAUUGAAAUUAAGGUGUAAUUAUUCAGCCAAUGAGCCUUACACAUCAAGAUAAAAGUCAAGAAAAUGGAAAUUUGGCCGUUUCCAUUUUGAAGUUAAAAACAAAGUUUCUUUCGUUUUGUGGGCGACUCGACUGAUCAGUUGGUGGACACCUCUAUUGAAAAUAUCUCUGACAUUUCACUCGACAAACUUGUUAAUACAAAAAAUCUAUGAUUUUAUCGUCUGUAUACUGUAGAAAAAAAUUGUCUAUACAUCUGUGGUAUAGAUUUUAUGUAUUUCAUUACAAAAUGCUGGCCGUUAGAACUCUAUCUACAUCUAUUUAUAAGAUAUUUCGUUAUAAUUCAUUCUGAAACACUAAAACUAAAUAAUCGAAUAUGGCUUUCCCGAUCGAUGAUGCCAGCAGCAAUGAGACUGCAAUUAUCACUUGUUUAGUUUCUGUGCUUGCCGUGGUUUAUUUCGCAUGGAAUGUGAAAAAAUCAAGGAAAGCAAAUGCUACACUGCCACCAGGACCUCGCGGCUUGCCUGUAUUCGGAUACCUCCCAUUUCUCGGAAAUACUGACUUACACAAGAAGUUCACGGAAUUAUCUGGAGUUUAUGGUCCGAUCUUCAAGCUUUGGCUUGGAAAUAAAUUGUGUGUAGUGGUGAGCUCACCUUCCCUAAUUAGACAAGUGGUUCGUGAUCAAGAUACAACAUUCGCGAACCGUGACCCACCGAUGGCUGCACUAGUGGUCUCCUAUGGUGGCAAUGAUAUUGUACGGUCCAAUUACGGUCCCGAAUGGAGAAAGUUGCGCAAAUUUUUUGUGGGCAAGAUGAUGAGUAACGCAAGCCUUGAUGCUUGUUAUGCUCUAAGAAAACAAGAGGUUAAAAAUACUAUCAGGGAUUUGUACAACAACGACAACAAAAUUGGUAAGCCCAUUGACAUUGGUGAAUUGUCGAUUUCAACCUUGGUAUGUGCUAUGCAGAACAUGCUGUGGGCCUGUGGGGUGAAGCGCUUGAAAUAAGAGAGGAAGGGAUCACUAAUCAUGGGGCUGAGCUAAAAUUUAAGCUGGCAGAACUCAUGGUGCUAGCGGGAACACCGAAUAUUUCAGACAUCUUUCCAAUGCUUUCAUGGCUCGACAUACAAGGUAUAGAGAGGAGAGCAAAGAAGAUUUCACUCUGGUUUGAACAUAUUAUAAAUUCUACUGUUGAAAAGCAUAGAAGCAAGGACUUUAUUGUUGAAGGCAAAGAAAGAGCAGGGAAAAAUUUGGAAGGAUCAAGGAACAAGAACUUCUUGCAGUUACUAUUGGAGCUUCAAGAAAAUGAAGACGGUUCUUCCUCAAUUAGCAUGAACCAAUUUAAGGCCGUACUCGUGGUAUGUUAAGCAACUAGCCGCAAACAGUUAAACAAGCACAGCUGUAUAUUUUGCAUGAGUGAUAUUUUCAACUUUUUUUUUAAUUAGAAUUUUAUUGUAACCUUUUGGACAGGAUAUAAUUACGGGUGGAACCGACACCACAACUACGAUGGUGGAAUGGACAAUGGCAGAGUUGAUACAGCAUCCACAAGUAAUGAAGAAAGUUCAGGAAGAAUUAGCUCAAGUUGUGGGCAUGGACAGUUGUGUUGAAGAAUUUCAUUUGCCUAAACUGAAAUAUUUAGAUGCUGUGGUGAAAGAAUCGUUUCGUCUACAUCCUGCAUUGCCUUUAUUAGUACCACGCAGAGCAAGCGAGAGUGGCAGCAUUGGUGGCUAUACCAUUCCCAAAGAUACAACUCUUAUGUUGAAUGUUUGGGCUAUCCACAGGGACCCUCAACUUUGGGAUAAUCCCUUAGAAUUUCGACCCGAGAGGUUUCUGAAUGUUGGUGUCGAGAGUAAGUUCGAUUACUCAGGUAACAAUUUUCAGUACUUACCAUUUGGUUCUGGUAGAAGGAUGUGUGCUGGGAUUCCUCUAGCUGAGAGGAUGCUGAUGUUUGUUUUGGCUUCGUUAUUGCACUCAUUUGAGUGGGAAUUGCCAGCUGGCACAAAGCUAAACUUAUCUGAAAAAUUUGGGAUUGUUAUUAAGAAAAAAGAGCCUUUGGUUGCUAUUCCAACACCAAGACUAUCCAAUUCAGAGCUUUACCAUUAAGACAGAAUGAUUGUGAUGAUUUUGUUAGUAUCGGAAGAUUUGUAUGUUAUUUCAAGUUCAAACGUAAUAAAAUAUUUUAAUAAAAGUCCUCCGUUGCUAUUUUUUUUUUUCAACGGCAUAAUCUGUCAUCAUGCUUGUGUUUGGAGCUACUUUGGAAUGAUUAUUUUUUAAUUACAAUUUAUAAAUAUUUACAUUUUAAAAUUUUUAUAAGAGUCUAAAUUUAUACAUGUUCAAUAAAAGAUUCCCUAAAAAUUUUACAAUUCAAAAUUCUAUUAAAGUAUAGAUGAAACUUUUAUACCUACUAAUUUUUUGGUCUAUUCUACGAGUUUAAAGAGAAUAUAUUUUUAGAGCUAGCAAAAAGAGGUACUUGAUUGUUUUCGCGUUAUGUCAAUUUUUUUAUUGUGUUAAAUUUAAUUUGACCCACAUAUGACCCAUUUAAUAAUUGUGUCAAAAUAUCAAAAUUUAAACUCGACACGGAAAAUAAAUGGAUGACCAUACACACCCAUUUAAGAAUUAGGUAACUAUGUCACUUAAUACGAUAUAACCCAAUAACUCGUUUAAUACAUAUUUAACUUAAUUUACAUUGUACAUUGUACAACCUUUUAUCAUAAAUUACACUAUUUUAUAUUUCUAAAUAAUAUUAUAUAUUGAUAUUAUAAAAAAAAAUCAAUAAUCUCAAAAUUUGUACACCUCCUAACUUUUGAAAAGAAAUAAUAAAACUAAUUAAUUAAUGUUUAUUUUAUUCAUUAAUAUAUCAUAAUCCUACAUGUAUUUUAUUUGUUAUUUUUUUUUAUUUAAAAAGAUAGGAGGGUGGAUGAAACUCAAAUAAAUUUUUAGCCUAUCCUGAUCUUUCAAGUUUCUUAUUUAGGUGGCCAGCUGAAAAAAAUUACUUGAAAGCUACUCCAUCAAUUUAACAAAUUUUAUUUACUUAAUUAAUGGAGGUGUAGAAAAUAAAAGUAUCUGCAAGUACAUUGCAAUAGUGAAAGCAAUGUACCGGUGUUGGAACAUAACUGAACCCUGGUUACCUAUCACAUAUUUUAAGUUUUAACUUUGGUAGUUCACGGAUCGGUUUCUACUUCCACGAACAAUUAAUGUAGGAAAUGAGUUUUCUUUAUUUUUUAAUGAGUAUUUAUAGACCCCGAUUAAAUAUUGGAAUCUAUCUAUCUAUAUAUAUAUAAAGUUAGGACUUGAGGAGGUGAUGUAGCAUCACCAUUUCUCAUCUUUGUAUAUUCUCUAUUAUCUAAUAAAUAGAGAAAUUUUCUUUUACAUUUAGUUUUUCAUCUUCUCAUAAUUAAUUUGAUUGUCAUUACACAAUAACAAUUAUGUAAAGAUUUUAAUGAGACAUAUUUUUUGUAAUGAACAAGGAGGAGUAUUAUGAAUUUAUUAAAAUAAAUGUAGAUGUUCAUAACAUAUAUCUCUUAGUCUCCUCACUAUCUCUCAUUAGCAACAUUUAGCUUCCCUAUAACUCCCACUAUCUCAUAAGGAAUUAUGAUCCAUAAUUUUUCAUUAAUUUCAUGGAGUGAUUAUGUAACUAUAAAAGAAGAGCUCAUCUUUUUGUUUUGUACACACACAAUUGGAAUGAAUAAAAUCACUCUAUAAUAUAUUCUCUCAUUUUAUUCUUUAUUUUGCGUUGCUUCUUUAUUUGUAUUGCUGGCUAAUAGUUUUUAUUUUUAUUUUUUAUAAGGUUGCCUCAUCUUAAAAAAAAAUCAAUUCAUAUUUUUUAUCAGUUUCAUCAAGUGUAAAGUAAGAAAAAAAUAUAAUACUAAUUUUUUUUUUCAAAUAAAUGUAGAUGUUCAUAACAUAUAUCUCUUAGUCUCCCAACUAUCUCUCAUUAGCAACAUUUAGCUUCCCUAUAACUCCCACUAUCUCAUAAGGAAUUUUGAUCCAUAAUUUUUCAUUAAUUUCAUGGAGUGAUUAUGUAACUAUAAAAUAAGAGCUCAUCUUUUUUGUUUUGUACACACAUAAUUGGAAUAAAUAAAAUCACUCUAUAAUAUAUUCUCUCAUUUUAUUCUUUAUUUGUAUUGCUGGCUAAUAGUUUUUAUUUUUAUUUUUUAUAAGGUUGCCUCAUCUUAAAAAAAAAUCAAUUCAUAUUUUUUAUCAGUUUCAUCAAGUGUAAAGUAAGAAAAAAAUAUAAUACUAAUUUUUUUUUUCAAAUAAAUGUAGAUGUUCAUAACAUAUAUCUCUUAGUCUCCCCACUAUCUCUCAUUAGCAACAUUUAGCUUCCCUAUAACUCCCACUAUCUCAUAAGGAAUUUUGAUCCAUAAUUUUUCAUUAAUUUCAUGGAGUGAUUAUGUAACUAUAAAAUAAGAGCUCAUCUUUUUUGUUUUGUACACACAUAAUUGGAAUAAAUAAAAUCACUCUAUAAUAUAUUCUCUUAUUUUAUUCUUUAUUUUGCGUUGCUUCUUUAUUUGUAUUGCUGGCUAAUAGUUUUUUUUUUUUUUUUUUAUAAGGUUGCCUCAUCUUAAAAAAAAAUCAAUUCAUAUUUUUUAUCAGUUUCAUCAAGUGUAAAGUAAGAAAAAAAUAUAAUACUAAAUUUUUUUUUCAAAGCCGCGUGAAGCGCGGUUCUAUUUUCUAGUAUAUAAUAAAAGAGAAACUGACAUAGAAAUGAGAAAGAUAUUUGGAGGAGGCAAAAAAAAAAAAAAAAAAUGCAACAGAGAAUUAGAUCAGCAACACAAGUAACUAAUUCAUCUAUACAUCAUAAUCCUAUUUGUAUCUUCUUCCUUCUUCUAAUUUACAUAUAAAUUUGGUUAGAUAAAACAUAUUUUAAUACUUGGUCACAAGUGGUGGAUAUAGAAAAGGGUAAUUUUCAGUUUCAUCACCUGAGGUUUGGGGUCCCUUCAGUUAGAUAGAUUCUAUGAGGGUAUCUCCACUUUGCACUCCUACCGUUCGUAUAAUGUUUAGUAUAAGUUUAGUUUACGAGAAUAAAUAAGUAAUUGCAUGAUAAAUUAUUAAAUAUUAAGAUAAUUUUGAAUUUUUACACUCUGCAAACUGGAACCUGUUGAAACAUUGUGGUGCUCGCUAGCCAAUAAUCAAAAAUCAAACGACACCCAUUUUGAAGAAACCCUAAGACAAAAUCAAACGACACCCAUUUCAAGCUUAUUAACUAGAGAGAUUUCGAAGAAACCCUAAGUCAAAAUCAAACGACACCCAUUUCUCAUUCCACUCUCCUCGAACUCGAAUCCCUCUUACAAUCGAUUGAUCCAGACACCCUUUACCGAUUCACCGAUCAACUCUCCUCCAAAAAAACUCUCUUUAUCCUCUCUCAUUCCUCCAAUUUCUUGCGCCAUGGAUGCGGGCCCCACCAAUAUCUCCCUCUUGGCCUCCAAAAUUUACCUUGCAUUGCUUCUCUCCCCGAACUCCCCUGUCUUCACUUUGUUCACUCCCAUGGCGUUCCUCUCCCUUCGCCGCUCCCUCAAGAGUUUUAAGCGCGUGUCUGAUAGCGGGUCCCACUCUAGUGUUAACCACAAAAGAAAAGGUGGUGGCAGGCGGGUUCAGCGGGCGAAUGAAUUUAACGAGGAUGAGAGCGAGGGUGGAUUUGAUGCUAGGAGUUUGUGUUUGGUUGUUGAGAAGUUGGAAUUUGUUGUGGGGUUGGUUUAUUUGAAUAGAUUUCUAGAUUGUUUGAAGUCUUUGAUACAGACUGUUGUUGAGAUUCUGGUCUCUUUGCUUGAAUUGGGAGGUUAUGAGAAAUUGAAUGUUUGUUUUCAGGGAUUUUGAUUAAGUUGUUGAGGGGGGAGCAUGGUGAUGUGAUGAGUACAACUGCAUAGGUUUUGAAGUCAUUAGUGCCAUUGAUUUUGAUGGGCAAAUGUCAAGCGAGGAGUUUUGCAUUAGGAUUUUUGAUGAAUGGAGUGAUGGGUGUGGCUAAAGAGAUCGACGGGGUCAAGAAGGCAGUUGUGAAUUUGCCGAAGUACUUGGUGAACAAGGCCCUGGAGAAGGCCGAGCUGAGGGGAUUAGCUGUGGAGGCAAUUAUGGAGAUUGUUAAAGCAAUGGAGGUUGAGGAUCAAAUGGGGUUUGUUGAAUAUACUGUUAAAGCUGACUAAAGGGAAGGCUAAUCUUAGCCUAGUUGCAGUUGAUCUGAUAUUAAUGCUAAUGACGUCGAUGAGAGAUCCAUUGAAUCUCUCGUUUACGACAUUCAGUUUAGUUAAUAAGCUUGAAAAAAAAAAAAAAGGGGCUCCAGUUGGUUAUUAAAAUAGUUUUAUUGAUGCAAGGGUGUUUUAGUCAUUUAAUCAGUCAAUUAACAGUCAAAUAAAUGUUAUCCUAACGGUAGGGGUGUAAAGUGGAGAUACACUCAUACAAUCUAUCAAAGUGAAAGGACCCCAAAUCUCAGGGGAGGAAACCGAAAAUUACCCAUAUAGAAAAUUAAUUUAGAGGGGGUAAUACCGUAACGAAAAAUAAUGAUUCAUAAUUAAAAUCAACCCCAACAUCAAAACUUAUUUACAAGAUCACCCCCAGUCAAAGGUAAUUUUUCCUAAAAACUAAUACGAAAUUAAAUAAAUUUAACUUUUAGUGGGUUCAAUUGCCCACGCAUUCUGAACGUAGAUCCACCCCUGGCCCCGACUGAAGCAUUUUUUACAAUAUGUACUCUGUUUAUCAGCAGGAACAACCUUCCACUUUAAAUUAAAAUUUUCACUUAAAAAUGAUUAAGGUUAAUGAGGUUAGUAACAAAAAUGAGUUUAAUUAGAGAAUAUUAUAAGAGAAAUUCUAUUUUUUGACUUUUAAUAAAUUAAAAUAUAUUAAAAUAUUAUUAAUUGGUGGUGGUUUCACAUCAAAUUAAGACAUGACACCUAAUUUAUGAGGUGGAGACAAUCGGCUUAAACUAUUUUAAUGCAUUUAAAAUUUGUACUAAUGACUAUCAUUCUUUGUCCUAAUUAAUACGAUAAUUAAUAACAUACAAUUGAAAUAAUUAAUAUUAGCACUUGGCAAUAAAUAAAGCUCUUGUGCUUGAAUCGGCGCACAUGAUCAUUUCAUUCCUUUAUUUACUUUGCUACCACAGAUUUUGAGGCAUUAAAACUAAAUAAUAAUUGAAUAUGGCUUUGUGCGUCGAUGACGCCAGCAACAAGGGGACCGCAAUUAUCACUUUUUAAGUUGCUACUAAAAUUGAUUUUAGUAGUGAUAUGAUUAUUGCAGUGUUUUUAUUUUUUAUAAUAAAAUUAAGUCGAUUUGUUAUAAUAAACUUAGUUGAGUUUAAUGGUAUUAUUACAGAAAUUAAAGUCAUUAAAUAUUUUAAUAUUUUUAUCGUAAGCAUUGACAUGGUAUUUAUUUAUUUAUUGUAUGAUGGAUUUUAAAAUUUAUAAAAUUAUUUGUUAUUAAAUUACCCCCAGAUGCUACAUCACCUGAAACUUAAUAAAGGGAACGUAGCAUUGCCAUUACUCAACAUUCACUCUUAUGACUUUAUGACAUUAGAAUUAAAAUCUUUCGUACAUUUAAUUUGUUUGCUUCCAAAUUAAUCUUUAAUAAAUAUUUUUUUCACAUUAUCAUCAAUGGAAAAAACUCCAACGAAAAUAACUACACAAGAACAAUCUAUGCUAGUAUUAUAUGCCACGAUAUCUAUAACUUUGUCAGGAUCGAUCAUUCUAAUUUUUACGCAGAACUUUUUGUCAAUCGACAAACACCUCACAGAGCUUGUCACUUGUCAGCCGCAUUAUUACGAUGUAAAAUUGUACCGGAAUAUCUUGAAUUAUUAGUAGAAUAACGAAGACUAUUUGGAGCAAUAAAAGAAUCCAGCUGUGGUGCCACAAUUAUAUGGUACCACAGCUGGAUCUAACCAUUAAAUUUAGCUCUGGUGACAAUUGUGGGUUAGAUCCAAUGGUUGGAUCCAUCUGUGGUACCAUACAACAGUGGUACCACAGAUUUGUCCGCAAUAAAAACAAAUAACGCAGAUGAAAACAAUGGCUAAAAUUAUGUAAGUGAGCCCCAAAGUUUUUGCUAUUUCCAGGAAAUCCCAAAUUUGAUUGGACUAGAGGGAGGCAGGUAAGAAAUACAUUUUCUUCCUAGACAAUGACAGCUAUGACAUCAAGCCACUGCUAUUAUUAAUUAUCCCCUGGUCAUUACAGUUUGUUAAUAUUCAUUCUGAAACAGUAAAACAAAAACGAAAUUGAAUACAUCAACGAGACCGCAAUUAUCACUUGUUUAGUUGCGGUAUUUAACUUAAUUUUAAUCUAAUAUAUUUGUUAGUUAAACUUUUAAUAAUCAAAUAAUUUUGAUUUAAAAAUAAAGUUAUAGAAAUUAAUAAUUAUUAAAAAUUCACAAUUAAGGGAACGUUCAUCAAACACACAUAGCUAUUGUUUUCUCUAUAUAUUGCAGUGUGUACGAUAUUGAGGGUUGAAGUCCCAAGCAUGCUCUAAAAUCCAGAUAAUAUUUAGAUCCAAGCAAACUAGAGUAGUGAUUUAAUGAAAAUCAUAUGUAUUGAAAAAAAAUGAAAAGAGGUCAUAAACUAGAACAAAAAUAUAAUCAUAUUCAAGUAAACUUAAUAGAUAAACCCUAAGUUCGUGCACGAGAGUUGAACUCUAUGAAUUUUACUCAAUAAUUUGAUGCAUACAAAAUAUAUACGAGUUUAUGAGUGACGUAUAAGUACUAAAAGAGUUAAGUAAUAAGUAAAUAAAAUAAACCAAGUGGCAUGACAUUGAUUCAAUAUUAUUGUAUCAAUAUUUAUGAAAGAAAUUGUAUUAAAAUUAAAUUGUAUGUUGAGUAUUGAUCUUGUCGUCUCAUUAUGUUUAGAUAUCUUAAUAUUAAAUCGAUAUAUGUUGUAUCGUUGGUUGAUUAAAUGUCAUAUCAUUUAAAGUAUAUCCUUAACUAACUGAAUUAAUAGCAUAAAUAAUUUAUUUCAAGAAGUCUUUGACCAGGUAAUGUAAAUGAGAUUUGCAGCUUUGAGAAGAAACAUAAUAUUUCAAACGUAGAAUAUUAAAACGUAACUAUCAUAUUAUCAUUCUUGUUUUUUAAAUCUGAAUAAUUGAGAAUGCAAUUUUAGAAGUCAACUUUAAUGAGAUCGCAUACCAAUUCCAAUAUUUAAUCAAAUCUUGACCGUCCCUCAAUCAAUCAACGGUGCGAAACAAUUAGUGAAUCCACAUAUGAGCCAUGAUUAGUUGGUGGUGAUGAAGGCUGUUAUUGGCGGAGCUCAAAGUUAUUAUGUGCAUGUUGGGUGGAUAUCUCUAUUGAAAAUAUCUCUGAUAUUUCACUCGACAAACUUGUUAAUAUAAAAAAUCUAUGGUUUUGCCGUCUGUAAACUGUAGAAAAAAUUGACUCUACGUUAAUCUAAAUGUUUGAGGUGAUUAGAAAUUACCGACUAUAAAGGGGAAUAAUUUAUAGGUUGAUUGAUACAUCUCUAUUGAAAAUAUCUCUGACAUUUCACUCGACAAACUCAUUAAUAUAAAAAAUCUAUGGUUUUGCCAUCUGUAUACUGUAGAAAAAUUUGUCUAUACAUUAAUCUAGAUGUUGGAGGUGGUUAAUAUUUUAUGUAUUUCAUUAUCAAAUGCUGGCCGUUGGGACCCUAUCUACAUCUAUUAAUAAGAUUAACAGGUGCCAGACUAGGCCAUUACAAAUUAUCCCCUCAUCAGAUAUUUCGUUAAAAUUCAUUCUGAAACACUAAAACUAAAUAAUUGAAUAUGGCUUUGCGGGUCGAUGAUGCCAGCAGCAAUGAGACUGCAAUUAUCACUUGUUUAGUUUCUGUGCUUGCCGUGGUUUACUUCGCAUGGAAUGUGAAAAAAUCAAGGAAAGCAAAUGCUAAACUUCCACCAGGACCUCGCGGCUUGCCUGUAGUCGGAUACCUCCCAUUUCUCGGAACUACUGACUUGCACAAGAAAUUCACGGAAUUAUCCGGAGUUUAUGGUCCGAUCUUCAAGCUCUGGCUCGGAAACAAAUUAUGUGUCGUGGCGAGCUCACCUUCCCUAGUUAAACAAGUGGUUCGAGAUCAAGAUACAACAUUCGCCAACCGUGACCCGCCGAUCGCUGUACUAGCGUUCACCUAUGGUGGCAAUGAUAUUGCAUGGUCCAAUUACGGUCCCGAAUGGAGAAAUUUGCGCAAAGCUUUUGUGGGCAAGAUGAUGAGUAACGCAAGCCUUGAUGCUUGUUAUGCUCUAAGAAAACAAGAGGUUAAAAAUACUAUCAGGGAUUUGUACAACAACGACAACAAAAUUGGUAAGCCCAUCGACAUUGGUGAAUUGUCAAUUUCAACCUUGGUAUGUGUUAUUCAGAACAUGCUGUGGGGUGAAGCGCUUGAAACAAGAGAGGAAGGGAUCACUAAUCUUGGGGCUGAGCUAAAAUUUAAGCUGGCAGAACUCAUGGUCCUAAUGGGAACACCGAAUAUUUCGGACGUCUUUCCAGUGCUUUCAUGGUUUGAUAUACAAGGUAUAGAGAGGAAAGCAAAGAAGAUUUCACUCUGGUUUGAAAAUAUUAUAAAUUCUACUGUUGAAAAGUAUAGAAGCAAGGACUUUAUUGUUGAAGGUAAAGAAAGAGCAGGGGAAAAUUUUGAAGGAUCAAGGAACAAGAACUUCUUGCAGUUACUAUUGGAGCUUCAAGAAAAUGAAGACGGUUCUUCCUCAAUUAGCAUGAACCAAUUUAAGGGCGUGCUCGCGGUAUGUUAAGCAACUAGCCACGAACAGUUAUACAAGCACAGUUGUAUAUUUGCAUGAGUGACGCUUCUCAACUUUUUUUAAUUUUUUAAAUUAAAGUUUUAUUGUAAUCUUUUGAACAGGAUAUAAUUACGGGUGGAACCGACACCACAACUACGAUGGUGGAAUGGACAAUGGCAGAGUUGAUGCAGCAUCCACAAGUAAUGAAGAAAGUUCAGGAAGAAUUAGCUCAAGUUGUGGGCAUGGACAGUUGUGUUGAAGAAUUUCAUUUGCCUAAACUGAAAUAUUUAGAUGCUGUGGUGAAAGAAUCGUUUCGUCUGCAUCCUGCAGUGCCUUUAUUAGUACCACGCAGAGCAAGCGAGAGUGGCAGCAUUGGUGGCUAUACCAUUCCCAAAGAUACAACUCUUAUGUUGAAUGUUUGGGCUAUCCACAGGGACCCUCAACUUUGGGAUAAUCCCUUAGAAUUUCGACCCGAGAGGUUUCUGAAUGUUGGUGUCGAGAGUAAGUUCGAUUACUCAGGUAACAAUUUUCAGUACUUACCUUUUGGUUCUGGUAGAAGAAUGUGUGCUGGGAUUCCUCUAGCUGAGAGGAUGCUGAUGUUUGUUUUGGCUUCGUUAUUGCACUCAUUUGAGUGGGAAUUGCCAGCUGGCACAAAGCUAAAUUUAUCUGAAAAAUUUGGGUUUGUCAUUAAGAAAAAAGAGCCUUUGGUUGCUAUUCCAACACCAAGACUAUCCAAUUCAGAGCUUUACCAUUAAAACAGAAUGAUUGUGAUGAUUUUGUUAGUAUCGGAAGAUUUGUAUGUUAUUUCAAGUUCAAUCGUAAUAAAAUAUUUUAAUAAAAGUCCUCCGUUGCUAAUUUUUUUUUUCAACGGCAUAAUCUGUCAUCAUGCUUGUGUUUGGAGCUACUUUGGAAUGAUUAUUUUUGAAUUACAAUUUAUAAAUAUUUAGGUUUUAAAUUUUUUAUAAGAGUCUAAAUUUAUACACGUUCAGUAAAAGAUUCCCUAAAAGCUUUACAAUUCAAAAUUCUAUUAAAAGUAUAGAUGAAACUUUUAUACCUACUAAUUUUUUGGUCUAUUCUACAAGUUUAAAGAGGAGAUAUUUCUAGAGCUAGCAAAAAGAGCUACCUGAUUGUUUUCGCGUUAUGUCAAUUUUUUUAUUGUGUUAAAUUUAAUUUGACCCACAUAUGACCCAUUUAAUAAUCGUGUCAAAAUAUUGAAACUUGAACUUGAUACGGAAAAUAAAUGGAUGACCACACACACCCAUUUAAGAAUUAGGUAACUAUGUCACUUAAUACGACAUAACCCAAUAACUCGUUUAAUACAUAUUUAACAUAAUUUACAUUGUACAUUGUACACCCUUUUGUCAUAAAUUACACUAUUUUAUAUUUCUAAAUAAUAUUAUAUAUUGAUAUUAUAAAAAAAUAUCAAUAAUCUCAAAAUUUGUACACCUCCUAACUUUUAAAAAGAAAUAAAAAAACUAAUUAAUUAAUGUUUAUUUUAUUCAUUAAUAUAUCAUAAUCCUACAUGUAUUUUAUUUGUUAUUUUUUUUAUUUAAAAAGAUAGGAGGGUGGAUGAAACUCAAAUAAAUUUUUAGCCUAUCCUGAUCUUUCAAGUUUCUUAUUUAGGAGGCCAGUUAAAAAAAAUUACUUAGAAAGCUACUCCAUCAAUUUAACAAAUUUUAUUUAUUUAAUUAAUGGAGGUGUAGAAAAUAAAAGUAUCUGCAAGCACAUUGCAAUAGUGAAAGCAAUGUACCGGUGUUGCAACAUAACUGAAUCUUGAUAACCUAUCACAUAUUUUAAGUUUUAAUAUUGGUAGUUCACGGAUCGGUUUCUACUUCCACGAACAAUUAUUGAAGGAAAUGAGUUUUUUUUUUAAUGAAUAUUUAUAGACCCCGAUUAAAUAUUCGAAUAUAUAAUAAAAGAGAAACUGACAUAGAAAUGAGAAAGAUAUUUGGAGGAGGCCAAAAAAAAAAAAAAAAAUGCAACAGAGAAUUAGAUCAGCAACACAAGUAACUAAUUAAUUCAUCUAUACAUCAUAAUCCUAUUUGUAUCUUCUUCCUUCUACUAAUUUACAUAUAAAUUUGGUUAGAUAAAACAUAUUUUAAUACUCGGUCACAAGCGGUGGAUAUAGAAAAUUAAUUUAGAGGGGGUAAUACCAUAACGAAAAAUAAUGAUUCAUAACUAAAAUCAACCCCAACAUCAAAACUUAUUUACAAGAUUACGCCCAGUCAAAGGUAAUUUUUCCUAAAAACUAAUACGAAAUUAAAUAAAUUUAACUUUUAGUGGGUUCAAGUGCCCACGCAUUCUGAACGUAGAUCCACCCCUGGCCCCGACUGAAGCAUUUUUUACAAUAUGUACUCAGUUUAUCAACAGGAACAACCUUCCACUUUAAAUUAAAAUUUUCACUUAAAAAUGAUUAAUGUUAAUGAGGUUAGCAACAAAAAUGAGUUUAAUUAGAGAAUAUUAUAAGAGAAAUUAUAUUUUUUGACUUUUAAUAAAUUAAAAUAUUAUUAGUUGGUGGUGGUUUCACGUCAGAUUAAGACGUGACACUUUACUUAUGAGGUCGAGACAAUCGACUUAAACUAUUUCAAUGCAUUUGAAAUUUGCACUAAUGGCUAUCAUUCUUUGUCCAAAUUAAUACGAUAAUUAAUAACAUACAAUUGAAAUAAUUAAUACUAGCACUUGGCAAUAAAUAAAGCUCUUGUGCUUGAAUCGUCACACAUGAUCACUUCAUUCCUUUAUUUACUUUGCUACCACAAAUUUUGAGGCAUUAUAACUAAAUAAUAAUUGAAUAGGGCUUUGUGUUACUUGUUGUGCGCGCGGAAUGCGGAAUCAAGCACACCAAAUUAUUACAGAAAAAUAAAGGACACAAUUAUUUGACGUGGUUCGGUAAUUAAACUUACAUCCACGGAGGCAAGAAAGAAUAAUUGUUUAUUUAACAAUUAAUAGAGUACAAAUAUUUGAGUAACGAAUCUCACUUCUCAGAAACCUAAAUAUACCCAAUACUCUCACACUCUGCAGGAAAGAUAAAUUAUCCAAACACACUUCUCUCACUUCUCUAAAAAACUUAAAAAUUUAAAAACUUAACAAUUUUGGAAUGCUUUAGAAUAGAAGAAGUGCCAUCUUAUAGGAAAAAUAAUGAUACUAUUGCACCAACCUCUUUACUAUUCCACCUAACAUAAGCAAAUUGUCAAUAGUGUCCAUUUAACUUUUUAUUUUUUUUCUUCAAUUGUUUAGUAGCCCUUUAAAAAUCUGCGUGGUUUCUUGAAAUUUAGAUGCCACAUGCAUGACUUUUCAACACUAAUUACUACGAUAAUUAAUAUUAGCACUUGGCAAUAAAUAAAGCUCUUGUGCUUGAAUCGUCACACACGAUCACUUCAUUCCUUUAUUUGCUUUGCUACCACAGAUUUUGAGGCAUUAAAACUAAAUAAUAAUUGAAUAUGGCUUUGUGCGUCGAUGACGCCAGCAACAAGGGGACCACAAUUAUCACUUUUUAAGUUGCUUUUAAAAUUGAUUUUAAUAGUGAUUUGAUUAUUGUAGUGUUUUUAUUUUUAUAUUAAAAUUAAGUCGAUUUGUUAUAAUAAACUUAGUUGAGUUUAAUGGUAUUACUACAUAAAUUGAAUAGUCAUCAAAUAUUUUAAUGUUUUUAUGGCAAGUGUUGACGUGGCAUUUAUUUGUUGUAUGAUGGAUUUUAAAAUUUAUAAAAUUAUUUGUUAUUAAAUUACCCCCAGAUGCUGCAUCACCUGAAACUUAAUAAAGGGCAUGUAGCAUUGCCAUUACUCAACAUUCACUCUUAUGACUUUAUGACAUUAGAAUUAAAAUCUUUCGUACAUUUAAUUUGUUUGCUUCCAGAUUAAUCUUUAAAAAUAUUUUUUUCACAUUAUCAUGAAUGGACAAAACUCCAACGAAAAUAACUACGCAAGAGCAAUCUAUGCUAGUAUUAUAUGCCACGAUAUCUAUAACUUUGUCAGGUCUCAGGAUCGAUCAUUCUAAUUUUUACGCAGAACUUUUAAUCAAUGGACAAACACCUCACCGAGCUUGUCGGCAGCAUUACUACGAUGUAAAAUUGUACCGGAAUAUCUUGAAGUAUUAGUAGAAUAAUGAAGACUAUUUGGAGCAAUAAAAACAAAUAACGCAGAUAAAAAAAAUGGCUAAAAUUAUGUAAGUGAGCCCCAAAGUUUUUGCUAUUUCCAGGAAAUCCCAAAUUUGAAUGGACUAGAGGGAGGCACGUAAGAAAUACAUUUUCUUCCUAGACAAUGACAGCUAUGACAUCAAGCCACGUAUUGAAAUUAAGGUGUAAUUAUUCAGCCAAUGAGCCUUACACACCAAGAUGUAUAAAAGUCAAGAAAAUGAAAUUUUAUCCCAAUUAAAACACUUUCUGGCUGCAAUUGGCUGUUUCCAUUUGAAGUUAAAAAACAACAACGUUUCUUUCGUUUUGUGGGCGAUUCGAUUGAGCACGCGCCACGAGCUAGCUGGCUUCCAGUGCUUGCGUGUGACAAUAGAAGGCUAGUGAUUUCACUUUCGCUUUUUUUUUUUUUUCUUUUUUUUGGGGAAUCAAGAUAAAAGCCAAGAAAAUGAAAAUUGGGCUGUUUCCAUUUGAAGUUAAAAACAGUGUUUCUUUCGGGGCGUCAAUUUGAUAUUUGAAUGGACAGGCAAGUAAGAAAUACAAUUCCUUCAUAGACAAUGACAACGAGGACAUCAAGGCACAUCAUUAUAGUUUGUAGCCCAUCUACAUUUAAACGAUUAAUAAACAAGCUUAGGUGUGCCACUGCUAUUAUUAAUUAUCCCCUGAUCAUUAUAGUUUCUGAAACAGUAAAACAAAACGAAAUUGAAUACAUCAACGAGAUCGCAAUUAUCACUUGUUUAGUUGCGGUAUUUAACUUAAUUUUAAUCUAAUAUAUUUGUUAGUUAAACUUUUAAUAAUCAAAUAAUUUUGACUUAAAAAUAAAAUUAUAGAAAUUAUUAAUUAUUAAAAAUUCACACAUAGCUAUUGUUUUCUCUAUAUAUUGCAGUGUGUACGAUAUUGAGGGUUGAAGCCCAAAGCAUGCCCUAAAAUCCAGAUAAUAAUUAGAUCCGGGCCAAAUAUUCAUCAUUGUGUCGGCUGAUCAGUCGGUGGACAUCUCUAUUGAAAAAAUCUCUGACAUUUCUCUCGACAAACUUAUUACUAAAAAAAAAUCAGUGGUUUUGCCGUCUGAAUAAUGUAGAAAAAUUUGUCUGUGCAUUAAUCUAGAUGUUUGAGGUGAUUUAUACAUCUGUGAUAAAGAUUUAUAGGUUGACUUAUACGUCUGUGGUAUAGAUUUUAUGUAUUUCAUUACAAAAUGCUGGCCGUUAGAACCCUUUCUACAUCUAUUUAUAAGAUUAACGGGUGCCAGUUAUGCCAUUACAAAUUAUCCCCUCAUCAGAUAUUUCGUUAAAAUUCAUUCUGAAACACUAAAACUAAAUAAUCGAACAUGGCUUUGCGGGUCGAUGAUGCCAGAAGCAAUUCGACUGCAAUUAUCACUUGUUUAGUUUCUGUGCUUGCCGUGGUUUACUUGGCAUGGAAUGUGAAAAAAUCAAGGAAAGCAAAUGCUAAACUGCCACCAGGACCUCCCGGCUUGCCUGUAGUCGGAUACCUCCCAUUUCUCGGAACUACUGACUUGCACAAGAAAUUCACGGAAUUAUCCGGAGUUUACGGUCCGAUCUUCAAGCUCUGGCUCGGAAAUAAAUUAUGUGUAGUGGUGAGCUCACCUUCCCUAAUUAGACAAGUGGUUCGUGAUCAAGAUACAACAUUCGCGAACCGUGACCCACCGAAGGCUGCACUAGUGGUCUCCUAUGGUGGCAAUGAUAUUGCAUGGUCCAAUUACGGUCCCGAAUGGAGAAAGUUGCGCAAAUUUUUUGUGGGCAAGAUGAUGAG
rnacentral:lncRNA from 1 species